rnacentral:lncRNA from 1 species
CUUCGACAGGGAGCUCCUCGGGCUGUGGCUCGCGGUCAGACACUUCAGUUUUUUAAUGGAAGGCCGUGAGUUUACUGCCUACGUGGACCACAAGCUGCUCACACACACCAUGUCCAAGACAGUGGAGCCGUGGUCCGACCGCCAGCCAACUCUCCUACAUCUCCGAGUUCACCACAGACAAGGGAAGUCAAGGGACAGUCAAGGGUCCAACGUGGUCGCGGAUUGUCUCUCCGCGCGGGCCAGUCAAGGGAAGUCCAACGUGGUCGCGGAUUGUCUCUCCAGGGCGGUGGUCGGUGCGGUCCAGCUGAACUUGGACUACUCCCGCAUGGCUGUGGAUCAGGCCGCCGACCCCUCCGUCCAAGCUCUAAAGUCGUCGAACACGGGUCUGCGCCUGGAGGAGGUGCUCUUCAGUGAUACAGGGGCCAAGCUCCUGUGCGUCAUUUCCACAGGUCUGCCAAGGCCUGCAGUCCCCGCCAACUGGAGACACCCCGUCUUCGAGGCGGUACACAGCUUGUCUCACCCAGGUAGGAAACCGUCCUCGCGUCUGGUGUCAGAGAAGUUUGUCUGGCACGGGCUCAAGAGAGAUGUGAGGGCCUGGGUCGACACUUGCACUGCCUGUCAACGCGCCACGGUGCAUCGCCAUGUCAAGGCCCCCCUGGAAGAGUUCUCGGUGCCCGAGCGGAGGUUCGAACAUGUCAACGGGGACCUGGUGGGACCCCUGCCCCCCUCGCACGGCUACACCUACCUCUUUACCAUGGUGGACAGGAUGACGCGCUGGCCGGAGGCAGUCCUGCUCUCCUCAACGACAGCCCCCGACUUGGCCCGGGCGUUCAUCGUGGUGUGGGUCUCCCGCUACGGCACUCCUGCUGACCUCUCCUCUGACCGUGGCCCGCAGUUUACUUCGGAGUUGUGGGCGACGGUGGCGGAGAAUCUGGGGGUCAAGCUCCACCGCACUACCGCCUACCACCCGCAGGCUAACGGACUUGUUUAGCGCUUUCAUCGCUCCAUGAAGGCCGCCCUUCGAGCCAGCCUCACGGACAGCAACUGGCUCGACAAACUGCCGUGGGUCAUACUGGGGCUCAGGACAGCGCCCAAGGA